rnacentral:rRNA from 1 species
GCUUGUCUCAAAGAUUAAGCCAUGCAUGUCUAAGUAUAAACGCUUUUAUACUGUGAAACUGCGAAUGGCUCAUUAUAUCAGUUAUAGUUUAUUUGAUGGUCCUUACUACUUGGAUAACCGUAGUAAUUCUAGAGCUAAUACAUGCAUCAAUCCCCGACUUCUGGAAGGGGUGUAUUUAUUAGAUGGAAACCAAUGCGGGGCAACCCGGGAUCUGGUGAUUCAUAAUAACUUUCGGAUCGAUCGCAAGAUCGAUGCAUCAUUCAAGUUUCUGCCCUAUCAGCUUUGGAUGGUAGGGUAUUGGCCUACCAUGGCUUUAACGGGUAACGG